UUACAUGGUAAUAGCACAGACAUCUUCGUGUUUAUUAAGAUAUCUGCUAUGAAUGUUUAGUAAAUAUUUCGCCUUAUGACAACCAUAAACUUUUCAUCUGUGGAACUUUAAUAAUAUUAAUAUUUUUUUCUUUCAUCUGCAUUGUUGUAAUUUUCGUUAAUUUUUUUACCGUUUAUUUUUUAUUCUGACCAUCUGUUUAAUUUGUAAAUUCAAUUAAUUUUAUUCUAGUUCCUUACCGUAUUGUUGUAACCAAAGGCCAUGAAAGGAUGUUAUGAACCAUAUAUAUUGGGUAUACACGUAUCUCAGCCACACAGGAACAGGAAGUAACUUAAAAAAGUGUGAUUUUUGGCGUUACUACGUGUAGGCUAAGGCCUGACGCCUGAACAAUUAAAAUUAUUAAAAAUAUGAGUUUAGGGUAUCGUCGGUUGUGUACAUUAAUGAAAUUGUUACAACUAAAUAUCUUAACGAACUGUGUAGGCGGGUCCCUACCGCCACGACCUGCCUAUCCCUGCAGCAAGGCAGGGUUCAACCUGAGCCACACGCCGCCACGUGGAGCCCGCUCAAGGCUGCUCUAGCGAUCACCGACCACACCAACGGCCCCGGAGUGGGGAUAGCGCGACGUCCAUCCCCAAGAAACAACCGCACACUUGACCACAAACACCUGAAUCAACUAAUGACUCAGCCACUCCUAUUUGUGGCAUGAAUUUGAUAAUUUAGCUGCAAAAUCUCUUGUAGGUACUCAUCAGAAUACAGGUGACAACAUAUUUAAAUAUGCCGCUAUUCGAGAGAACUGGCAACCCACUGAAGUGGUAGGAACAAAAUGAGAUAGUAUUGCCAAAUUUAUGCAAGUUAGCAGUGGUACCGUAUUCACUCGCGUAAUGUCCGCCCUCGCAUAAUGUCCGCACCCUUUAUUUAUAUAUCCUUAAAAGAAAAAAUUUAAAAUUCGCAUAAUAUCCGCACCAGUCGUCUACGGCGGGCAACACAACUUUGACCACCCCUAAAGGACGCAGUACGAAUGGAAAGUUGACAGCUCUGUAAACAAAGCCGUGACCUUGAGCUGUCCUUUCUCUCCUGUCCUGAAAGGGUGGGGAAAUUCGUUGAACUGAACAAAGCACGGUAACGGUAAACACAGCUGACCAACACGCACGCAAGUUCAAGGCAUGAGUUUCGCGUCGAGUUUUGUAGUGUAGAGUACAGAAUGGGUAAAUAUAAAUCCUUCACUGUGCGGUUUAAAUUAAGAGUUGUUGGUUAUGCUGAAGAGCAUGGGAACAGGGAGUUUGAAGUGCACGAAAAAAGUGUUCGUCAGUGGCGGAAAAUAAAAGAACAGUUGCAGUCAACAAAUGCAACACGGCGUGGAUCAGUCUUGUUUUCUGUUGAGGUAAGACACGCAGCGCAGCGUAAAAGAAACGUCAACUUUAAUUAGUGUGUACCCUGUUUUACGUGUCUGGACAGAACAGAACCCCUUUCUGUUUACAUUUGGUUGGAAUCCCUCCCUUGGCCAUUCUCACGCUCUAAAUGUUUCCUUCCCCUUCCUCCUUCUCAACGUCACGAAGGCCAUCAGAUUGCCGGGGGGGGGGG